AUGAUGAUGGACUACGAUUUUUUUUUUCAGAAACUCCGUCCAAGAAAAGGAAAAAUCGAAGCCCUAACGUCGCCACCGCCCCCGCCCUUGCCCCUCAUGCCGCCGCGCGUGCCGCCCCGCUUGCCGCCAGGUCGUCGCCGCCGCUACGACCACCACUCGGCUCCCACCACCUACCCGCCGCCUCCGCCGUCUCCCAUACCGCCCGGAUACCGCCGCUCCGAUGGACACGGAUUUGAAGGCGAAGUCGACUCCGACCGCUGGACGAGGCCCCGCGACGGAUUUGAAGGCGGGCAGCCACGAGUCGAGGUCGACUCCAACCUCCGGACGCCCGCACACCGCCGCCACCACCCGGCUCCCUCCGCUCCCUUCGCUCCCGUGCAAAGAAACACCUACCCGCCGCCUGUCAUGCCGACCGGACGCCGCCCUGACGGAUCUGAAGGCGGGUCGCGACAACUCGAAGUCGACCCCGACCCCCGGACGAGGCCCCGUGACGGAUCGGAAGGUGGGCCGCCACGACUCGAAGUCGACUCCGACCUCCGGACGACGAACCGUCAUCUGUCCCGUGCGCAAUACAUUGAAGAAUUACUCGAUAAAGCCGAGCUGCCUCAACGGCGCGAGGUCACGGACCAGACAGUGAGUGGUACCGAUGCAAUAUUCCCACCAUCACGCCCCGUUUUUGCACUCAGCCCUACUCGCCUGACUAUCAAAUAUUAUGUCAGAGUUGAUAUGUGUGGUUUUUUCCACACAUAUCCUACUCUGUCCGGGCCAUUUCAGAGCUUACAGGAGGUCCAAGAUGCUAUCAACUCUGAGCAUGCUAAACAGUGUGAAAUGAUGUGCAUGGAUGGGCUUUCCAUGAUUGAAAGGAAAGUACGCCGUGCCCUUUACUGGCCUGAUGGCAUAAGGAGAAAUACUUUGGAAGCGCAAGCUUUUGAGAAGAGCCGUAGGCCUGAAGUAUGGAUGCUUAAAGCAUUACUGGACAAGUACAAUGAUGAUAACAAUCUGUCAGAGGAUAUUGCAUAUGAACUCGUAGACAUUCUAUGUGCUAAAGCAAUUCGUGAGCCAAAAGGUUCCCUAUAG
rnacentral:rRNA from 1 species